GGGUGAGUAACGCGUGGGCAACCUGCCCCAUACCGGGGGAUAACAGCCGGAAAUGGCUGCUAAUACCGCAUAAGCGCCAAAUGCCGCAUGGCAUGGGGCGGAAAACUCCGGUGGUAUGGGAUGGGCCCGCGUCUGAUUAGGCAGUUGGCGGGGCAGCGGCCCACCAAACCGACGAUCAGUAGCCGGCCUGAGAGGGCGGCCGGCCACAUUGGGACUGAGACACGGCCCAGACUCCUGCGGGAGGCAGCAGUGGGGAAUAUUGCACAAUGGGGGAAACCCUGAUGCAGCGACGCCGCGUGGGUGAAGAAGUAUUUCGGUAUGUAAAGCCCUAUCAGCAGGGAAGAAAAAAAUGACGGUACCUGACUAAGAAGCACCGGCUAAAUACGUGCCAGCAGCCGCGGUAAUACGUAUGGUGCAAGCGUUAUCCGGAUUUACUGGGCGUAAAGGGAGCGCAGGCGGCACGCCAAGUCUGAUGUGAAACCCCGGGGCUCAACUCCGGGCAUGCAUUGGAAACUGGCGGGCUGGAGUGCCGGAGAGGUAAGCGGAAUUCCUAGUGUAGCGGUGAAAUGCGUAGAUAUUAGGAGGAACACCAGUGGCGAAGGCGGCUUACUGGACGGCAACUGACGUGAGGCUCGAAAGCGUGGGGAGCAAACAGGAUUAGAUACCCUGGUAGUCCACGCUGUAAACGAU
rnacentral:rRNA from 1 species